UACGAGGGGGGCAAGCGUUGUUCGGAAUUAUUGGGCGUAAAGAGCUCGUAGGCGGCUUGUUGCGUCGACUGUGAAAACCCGCGGCUUAACCGCGGGCUUGCAGUUGAUACGGGCAGGCUAGAGUUCGGUAGGGGAGACUGGAAUUCCUGGUGUAGCGGUGAAAUGCGCAGAUAUCAGGAGGAACACCGAUGGCGAAGGCAGGUCUCUGGGCCACUACUGACGCUGAGAAGCGAAAGCAUGGGGAGCGAACAGG
rnacentral:rRNA from 1 species